rnacentral:lncRNA from 1 species
UCUCUCUCUCUCUCUCUCUAAAUCCCAUCUUUCUCUCUCUCUAGUUCUGGCUGCAGGUUUCAUGGCUCUGGCCGACGUACUUGGAACACCCGCAGGGAGAAGAUAUGAAGUUUCAAAUUCUAUGAAUGUUGACGCGGAUCAUGGCGGUGCCUUUGGCAUAGUCAUGAAGGGUAUAGAGGAUGAGAAGGGGGAGAAGAAGAAGGCGGUGCUUGUUUGUUGUUGAUGAAUUUGGUGCUAUCCUUACCUGAGCUUUUACCAUGAUCUUUCUUUCUUUAUUUCGUCAUUUCAUUUCUUUAUUGUAUUUUUUGAUUUGUUGCCUUUUUUUCUUUUUGUGAUUCUUAUUUUCUUGACCUUGUAAGACCUUUUCUUGACCUUGUAAGACCCGGUGAUAUGUUAUGUGUCUUUAGCGUUAACUAUCGCCUAGAUCUUAACUCAUCACAUAGUCUUAAAAGGUCAUUCUACUAUUUUCUUCCCUCCCACCCAACCUAGGUUCUCCUUCCUUGUCUAUCCCUUCUGAGCUAUUUCGUCCCGUUACUAAGAGACGCUUAAAGUGUUUGUUCCAACUUGGAUGUAGUUGGUGGAAACAAACCUUAGUUUCUCUUCUUUAUUAGACAAAAAGAGACUAUAAUUCUUCAUCUUCAUCAACAAGUGCAAUGCCGAAUCUUCAAUUUAUGUCAAAAAUGCAUCCUAGCGCAUCUUGGGUUGCGACCACGAUUUGAAAGAGAAAAGAAGAAUGAAGAUUGUAGCAUAUAUAUUCAAGAUCUGUGUCAAAUUCAUCCUUUAUUUAGUUUCUUUUUCAUUAUACAAUGAAAUGUUAUGUUAUAAGGUUCUAUUUAAGUGAAAAAAAUUAAGAUGCCAAUGAUUUUUUGUGUGUAUAUUUUAGUGCUUUCAGCUUACGGUAAUCUAUUUGGUCAGUGCAAGUGAUUCAGUCUCUCUCCAAAACACAAACAACCACACCCACAUGUGUGUGUGGCAGUAAUUAUUCUGGUAGGGCAUCGAUGCUAGAUUGGAUUAUUAGGGCAGAAAUCUCUAGAGGUUCAGUCUUAAGAUAUGUUUGUUUAAAAAUUAACAAGAAUAACACAAUUGUAUUAUAUUAGAAAUAUUUUACUGAUUAUAGUUGGAACAAGCAAUUUACUCCCCUCGUACUUUCUGAUUUUAAUCUCUCUUCGAAUACAUGAAUUCUGAAAAUAAGUUUUAUUUAUCCUUCCACCUUUACAUGAAUAAUACAUAUGUUAUAUAAACUAUAAUAUAUACUUGAAUGGUG